rnacentral:rRNA from 1 species
UACGGGGGGGGGUAAGCGUUGUUCGGAAUUACUGGGCGUAAAGGGCUCGUAGGCGGCCAACUAAGUCAGACGUGAAAUCCCUCGGCUUAACCGGGGAACUGCGUCUGAUACUGGAUGGCUUGAGUGUGGGAGAGGGAUGCGGAAUUCCAGGUGUAGCGGUGAAAUGCGUAGAUAUCUGGAGGAACACCGGUGGCGAAGGCGGCAUCCUGGACCACGACUGACGCUGAGUGAGCGAAAGCCAGGGGAGCAAACGGG